rnacentral:lncRNA from 1 species
AGAGCAUCUGCCUGGGGCAUGAAAAGAUGUGUCAACACAUGCCAUACUCGCACUGUUCUGCAGAACAUCACUAUUCUGCAUAAGAAAUUUAACUUUCCGGAGCCUCCAGAAAGGAGGCUUACCUUAGGGGAUCUUUAUCUUGGUUGCCAGUUUGAUGGGAUCUUGGAUCAAUCAAGAGAUGUGCUUCAACACUACUCUUCGAGGAGAUGCUACCCAGAAGGGAGAGCAGUACCAGCCCAGAUGUAGAGGUUGAGGGAAAAAUAUUGAUGCUUUUGCCUGCCUGCCGUUGGUCCUUGCUGGAAUCCCCUGAGCCUUUAGAAGCAGGCUGGGACCCGCUGCUGUGACAUUCAGCCUUGUGAACUGAACGGAUCCCACAUUCGGAGCCUCUCCAGUGCUCACACAACCACUCGGGACUACACAGACCUAUUGUGCAAGCCGUGUAAUAAAUCCCAACUUGUCAUGGUGUAUCCAGGACUUGCUACAGUGGGAGAAUUGGGAUCUGAGGAUGCCAGCUAAGAGGAAUUGGAACUAUAAAAUGCUGAAAUUCAACAGUAAGAAACCUGUGGAGAGCAUACAUGCCAGGAUCAGAAAGAUGGAUUCAGCCCUACAGAGAGGAGUCUAGCAUAGCUGUCUUCUGAGAAGAUCUGCCCAGCAGUUGGUUGAAACAGAUACAUUGGACAGAGCUCUGGAAUUCUUAUGGAAGAGUUGGGGGAAGGCCUGUCCAGUUCUUUUCCAGAAGGCCAGAGGACAGAUGAGCUUUGAUGCUAUACCUGAAAUGAAGCCUGAAACUGAAGAGUAGAGGUGUGACCCAGAGCCUGUCUAGGGAGCUUGGCUUUAGAGUCUCGACUAAAUGCAUCUCUCAAUCUCGAGAAGAUUCCAAGAGCUACUCCCUGCUAUGCUGGUUGGGGUCUAAGGAAGCCAGAAGCUGGAAAGAAUCCAGAUGUCCCUCAACAGAAGGAUGGAUACAGAAAAAUUGAUACAUUUACACAAUGGAGUAUUACUCAGCUAUUAAAAACAAUGAAAUUAUGAAAUUUUUAGGCAAAUGGAUGGAUCUGGAGGAUAUCAUCCUGAGUUUGGUAACCCAAUCACAAAAGAACACACAUAAUAUGCACUCACUGAGAAGUGGAUAUUAGCCCAGAAGCUCAGCAUACCCAAGAUACAAUUCACAAACCACAUGAAACUCAAGAAUGAAGACCAAAGUGUGGAUACUUUGAUCCUUCUUAGAAGGGGGAAUAAAAUACCCAUUGGAGGAGUUACAGAGACAAAGAGUAGAGCAGAGAAUGAAGGAAUGACCAUGCAGAGACUACUCCACUUGAGGAUCUAUCCCAUAAACAAUCACCAAAGCCAGACACUAUUGUGGAUGCCAACAUGUGCUUGCUGACAGGAGCCUGAAAUAGAUCUCUCCUGAGAGACUCUGUUAGUACCUAACAAAUACAGAAGAGGAUGCUUAUAGACAUCUAUUGGACUGAGCACAGGGUCUCCAAUGAAGGAGCUAGAGAAAGUACCCAGGAAGUGAAGGGUUUUGCAGCCACAUAGGAGGAACAACAAUAUGAACUAACCAGUACCUCCAGAGCUCCCAGGGACUAAACCACCAACCAAAGAAUACAUAUGAUGGGACUCACGGCUCCAGCUGCUUAUGUAGCAGAGGAUGACCUACUCGUUCAUCAAUGGGAGGAGAGGCCCUUAGUCCUAUGAAGGCUCUAAGCCCCAGUGUAGGUGAAUGCCAGGGCCAGGAAGCAGGAUUGGGUCCUUUGGUGAGCAGAAGGAGAGCAGAGAGUAUAGGGAGUUUUCAGAGGGAAAAUCAGGAAAGGGGAAACAUUUGAAAUGUAAAAAAGAACAUAUCUAAUUAAAAAAUCAAAACCAAACAAUGAUGUCAUGAAAUUCACAGGUAAAUGGAUGGAUAUAUAAAAUAUCAUGCUGAGUGAGGUAACUCAGUCAUAGAAGACCACAUAUGGUAAGUACUCACUGAUUAGUGGGUAUUACAUAAAGAGCAUGGAAUACCCACAAUACAACUAACAGACUACAUGAAAUUUAAGAAGGAAGAACAAAGAGUGAAUGCUUCAGUCCUACCUAAACUGGGAAGAAAAAUUGUUGUGGGCCGACCAGCAGCUCUCGAGGAAUGGUACGACUGAGAUGGCAGCUCAAGCUGAAAGAAAGGAACUAGACGGAUGGAAGAAAGAAUGGAGCUAAGUCAAAUCAGAUUCUAAUCAAAGCUCAAUUUUACUAAUUCGUGCACCAAGUUAUGAAGCAGGGGGAAAGGGUUAAUUCCCGCCAAAUAAUCUUGGGGUCCAGUUGCAGGGUGACCACGUGUAUGGCUCCAGAACAGCAAGGCGGCAGACUCCAGCAGUAGGUGUGGCAGAACAAUUGAGCGGCAGGCUCUACCCCGAUGCAUACAGUGAAACCUGAGCAAACGGGUUCCAGCCUGAGGGGAGGGAUGGUCUCCAGUUACCUGAUUUCUUCUUGAUAAUGAAAAUUGGUGUAUUCCAAGGAGAAUGAGACUCCACCAAAUGUCCAGCUUCUAACUGUUCCUGCACUAGCAAAGAAGCAGCCUCUAUUUUCUCUUUAGGAAAUACAGGGACAAAGAGUAGAGCAAAGACUGAAGGAAAGGACAUCCAGAGACUGCCCCACCUGGUGAUCCAUCCCACAUGCAGACACCAUACCCAGACACUAUUGAUGAUGCCAAGAAGUGCUUGCUUACAGGAGCCUGAUUCAGCUGUCUCAUGAGUGGUUCUGCAGGAUCCUGACCAAUACAGACAUGGAUGCUCUCAGCCAACCAUCAGAUUGAGCACAGGGACAGACUGAACAAUGGCAAAGCUGACAAGAUAUCAAGGUGGGUUUUCUGUUGCAACUCUUCAGUCCUGCCAUUGUGGCUCAAAAGCAGUCAGAGGUAUAAGAACAGAUCAGAAGCUGAAAGAGCUGCAUUGUGACAGGGCAUAGCACACACUGAAUGUGCUAAAGAAGUCAUGAAAGAAGCCCAGCCUAGUGCAUUCUUGUGUCAAGCAGGACCUCUUUUUUUAUAUCUUUCUAAUAGCUGAGAGUCUCUUUCUGACCCUCUGGGUUCUUUUACACUGAAGAGAUACUCCACACAUUUCUGAACUUGUAUAGUGAAGUCUCACAAGGCCUCUCUCUGAAUGCUCCCUGAAUGCUGGUAUAAGACACAGAAACUGUUAGUACCAGGACAUUCCAUACCUAGGUGCUAACAAAGUGACCCAUGACCUACGUUGCCAAGCCAACUACCACCAUAUCCCAGAACCCACUUAGCUCACCUCCCACCCUUAGUUGUGUUACAUCACUUUCCAUAUAAAUAAGGAGAACACCCCUCCUCGAUCUCUUUUUCUUUCCUCUCUUUCUUCUCUCCCCUUCCGCUCCCCCUGCCACUCCUUUCGUCUCUCCCUCACAAUAAACCUCUCUCACAUGG